CCCCCCCCCCCCCCCCCCCCCCCCCCCCCCCCCCCCCCCCCCCCCCCCCCGAACUAGAGCUGAGGGACAGCGGGGACGAGCUGAGGGAGCUGGAACUAGAGCUGAGGGACAGCGGGGACGAGCCGAGGGAACUGGCCGGCUGAGGGAAGCAGGGCGGCCCUGAGGGGGAGCCUGGCCAGUGCGAGCCCUGAAGGAGCCCAGGCUUGUGUGGCUGGGCGAGCACAUAGGACGGAUUCCCUUAAAGUGAGGGAUGCAGUUGUGUGAACCUCCAUAGUCUUCCACGGCAUCUUCCAGGAGAAAUUCCGAGUACAUUCCUCACCUCUGAUUUUGUGUGAUCACAUGCCAGAGCACUCCGGGAGGUGGGGAUCAGGGCAAGGGUGCAGAGUAAGCAAGCCCAAUGACAACUAAUUUUACAAUAAUCACCAAUAUCGUGCUUCACAUUUACAGAGGGGAAGAUCAAGGCACUGACAGAUGAAGUCUAGUCCAAGAUGAAACAGAAAAGCAGUGGAAGGUUGAGCUCCUGCAAGCUGAAUUACACCUUUAUUCUUCACUUGCUUUCCUGGCAGCAGGAUCUGCAUGCAAGGCUCCUUCCUCUCCACUGCUUUUCACCUACAAGGUCUAAUUGAAGAAGAAAAUGACAACCGUGGGGUGCGAUUCGUUCCCUGGCUGAUGCCCCUCUGAGAAUGCAGUGGCACUGAGCCACUGAAAGCAGCAGCGAUGCAGUCGAUGUGACAGUGCAAGGGCAGAUGCUCUGGACGGUAGAGGAUGC
rnacentral:lncRNA from 12 species